CAAAAAUUCACUUAAAUUUUAUAAUGUGAAAGAGGAUGUCAUAAAGUCAUAUUUCUGCAAGGAUUUUUCUUCUAUGGUACAGAGACAAUUCAGUCUGUGUCUGUGACAGUUCUAACAUUUAUUGGAUAUCUCCUGCAUACACCGACAAUCUCAGCUAAACUGCGUAUCCAAAAUACUGCCGCUCGUCUAGUUACCCGCUCAAGACCUUACAAAGAGAUUACUCCGAUCCUCCGCAAUUUUCACUGGCUGCCAGUAAUUCAAGUACUCGUGAAUAUAUAGAUUCAAGAUGUCUGAGAUUCAAGAAAUGCUGAGGAUGGAGGAGGAAAGGCAGAGAGAGGAAGAGGAAAGGCAAAGGGAAGAGG